rnacentral:rRNA from 1 species
GACGAACGCUGGCGGCGUGCUUAACACAUGCAAGUCGAACGGAAAGGCCCUGCUUGCAGGGUACUCGAGUGGCGAACGGGUGAGUAACACGUGGGUGAUCUGCCCUGCACUUCGGGAUAAGCCUGGGAAACUGGGUCUAAUACCGGAUAGGAGCCAUUUUUAGUGUGAUGGUUGGAAAGUUUUUUCGGUGUAGGAUGAGCUCGCGGCCUAUCAGCUUGUUGGUGGGGUAAUGGCCUACCAAGGCGGCGACGGGUAGCCGGCCUGAGAGGGUGGACGGCCACAUUGGGACUGAGAUACGGCCCAGACUCCUACGGGAGGCAGCAGUGGGGAAUAUUGCACAAUGGGCGCAAGCCUGAUGCAGCGACGCCGCGUGGGGGAUGACGGCCUUCGGGUUGUAAACUCCGUUCGCUAGGGACGAAGCUUUUUGUGACGGUACGUAGAGAAGAAGCACCGGCUAACUACGUG